CAUUCAUCCACCCAGUCAGCCACUACUGCAAUAUCAAAGAGAUAGAAAAUGCCUGUUGCUGGGAAACAGAGGAUUCCUUACCUUAAAGAGUUCACAGUUUGGUGGAAAAACAGAAAAACUACCCAGUAGUUACCAUGGAGUGUUAGGAGGUUAGGAGAAGGUGUCCGUGGAGAGAAGAGAGACACUCAGCACAGCUCCAGAAGUCAGCAAAACCUUCCUGAGCAAAGCACCGAAGGAAGCAGGAGUAAGAGUGAGACUGGCAAGGGAAAGGGAAGGACAUUCCAGGCACAGAGAACAGCAGCAUCAGGGCAGGGAAACGGAUGCCAUGAAGAUGGGGAGGCCAGCCAGGACAAGACUGGGUCAUGCCAAGAAAUUUAACUUUUUACAGAAGGUGAUGAGAUCCUUUUGGAUGAUAAGUGAUGAGGUCAGUUUUCUGCUUUGGGAGAUCACUCUGGCAGCAAUGUGAAGGGUGAAUUGGGUAGGGGCAAGGCUGGAAAGGAGAGAAGUGACAGUCAUUCAGCUAAGUCUCUGUACAACUGUCCAUGCUAUACACAAACUGUGAGAACUAUGGGAUACUGUUUUCUACCUAUCGUGAUGAAAAAGAUCCAGUGAAAAAUAUCCAGUACUGACCUUCCUGGUGAUCCCCAUUUACUGUGCUGGGCCAAGUUCUCCAGAUGGCUGGCUGUCUCUCCUGAGGGCCAAAAGGGACAGAAGUUUGAGAUGGCUGAAGAGUCCAAGAUGGUGUUAUUAAUUUCCUUAAUGGCAGCAGCAGAAGUCAUGGUAAUAAAGAAGUGCAAGGUGGCACAAACAAAAGAUGCCUGGGAAGAGGCUCCAUCUAGAAGUGUCCAAACCCACCAAGGCCAUGUAUCAUCAGUGAUGCAGCCCAGGUUUGAAUUUUGUUAGAAGAAAAAAAAUGUUCUAACCUUGGGCAAGUUUUUGAAACCUCACCAAGAUUGUCUCCUUUCCUGCAAUGAUAGAAGACAGAAUUGCCUUAUUAAGCAAUGUCAUACUUGCAAAGAACAAAUAAUAAGGCUUUAAUACAUAUUGGUUUCAUUCUCCUCCCCACCUCUUCUGGAUUACUAGAGGAGAAUGUAAAUUGCUAAGGACAGGGACUAGGUCUUUUUCAUCUCUACGCCCCCAAUAUUUUGUACAUGGUGGG